AAGUCGUAACAAGGUUUCCGUAGGUGAACCUGCGGAAGGAUCAUUAUAAAAAAUUUAACACUUUUUAAAAUUCUCACUGAAUUCACUCUCAGUGUUGUGAUCUCUGUAAAAAAAAAAAGUCUUGAGGUGGAGGUUAUUUGACUUGUUCAAAUGACUGAAUCCUUAAGCAAACCUUUUUUAACUUAACCAAAAAAAAACCCAAUUCAAACCCCCAAAAUGGACUCUCUUUGUUUUUCUUCUUUUUUUUAAUUUCCGCAAGGAAUGCAAAAAAAAAUGAAAAUCAAGGGCUUUCCAAUUUAAAAACCCAAACAAAAAACAAAAAAAAAACACUCACCGAGUGUAUAAACUAAAAAUUCAUAAAAUGAAAUACAACUCUUAACAAUGGAUAUCUCGGUUCUCGU
rnacentral:misc_RNA from 1 species